AGGAGAGAGAGAGAGAGAUGUGAGGCCCUCAUAGCUGCUGCUGGAUAGGUUUCCCAUGACUUGUAGUUGGUGUUUUCUCGAGCCCUCUUUUGUUUGUUCCGCUGUUGCUGAUCCUUGUUGAGUCCUCUUUUCUUCUUCUUUUUAAGUGUUCUAAGUUCCUCACGCUGUCUGCACUUCAUUUCUUCCACUUCCUGUUCUCUCUCUCUCUCUCUCUGGUUUGAAGAUCUGUGAGGGUUUCAUGUGGUGAUAUUGGAGUGAUUCUUGAUUUCUCUGGUUUUGACUGGUUUCUAGGGUUUUCGUGUGAAGAGAGAGGGGAUUAGCGUAGAGGGAGUCUGGAGCUCCUUUAAGUCCAAUAGAGGUUCUUGGCUGGGUGAGUUGAGCUGCUGGUCUAUGGAUCCCACACUCCUAUCCCAUUAAAUCUGCUCAUUCUCGAAUGAAGAAGGAAGAAAAAGUUGGGAUAAGCUUGUGGCUUGCAUAUGCCAGGAGCUUCACUUGCCCCUUUGUCUGAAUCCUUUUUUGGAUUGAAGGGAGCUCUACACUUAUUUUUGUUUAUCUUCCCUCCCUCUCUCUACUUGCAUGAGAUGAUCGUGAUGACUUUUUUGCUUCAUGGUCUUCUGUUUUCUGGGUUUUCAUUUUGUUUUUGCAGUAGAUUUUCCUGACGUUUAUCAGAUCUGGUUCUUCAAACAGAGGAGAUCUAGUUGGGAAAUCUUUUUAGCUGCCCUCUUCUGUACUGGAGUUUACGAUUUUUUCUCUUUUGCCUUUUCUGGAUCUAGCCCAGUCAAAAAGCACUCAUGGGAGCUUUCAAGAUUGCUUCAUGUGAGGCGUGUCCUGAAUAUGACUGGGCAUGCUGCUUCUUCCUAGAUACUCUCGCAUGAUGCCUGUGUAACUGUUAACCGACUGUUCUUGUGUCCUGACCAAUAGGGGCUCCUUUUUUUUUUUUUUUUGGAACAAACGUUUCUCUGGAUCACGUUUCAGGGUCCAUAGAUCUACUGAACUCUCUCUCUCUCUCUCUCUCUCGGUUAGGUUAAUCUUACACUGUAGUUUCGAACCUGAAAGGCUUGCUAAGCUUUUGGCCUUGGAAGGACGCUGUUCUCUUGGAAACAAAAUGGGGUUCAUGCUUACGAAGACGACGCCGGUUUUUCUCCAGAUCUUGAUGUAGCCGUAGUUUCCUUUUUGGACCAGCAUCGAGGAUGGAAUUUUAUUUGUUCUUCUACAUGUCAUUGUCUCUUGCUGGGAAGUUGCUCAGUUUC